rnacentral:tRNA from 1 species
GGGCGACUAGCUCAGUUGGUUAGAGCGCUGGUCUCACAUACCAGAGGUCAUAGGUUCAAAUCCUAUGUCGCCCA